rnacentral:lncRNA from 13 species
CUAUGCUAUACAGUUUGCUUUUUAUCGAAGAAGUUCAUUUUAUUGCAGCACUUACGAAACUAAAGCAUCAUGCGGCAGUGCUGUGUGCAUCAUUGCAGAGUAAGAUCGAGUGGAGUAUCAAAAGCCAAAAAUACAAAAUUUUUUUUGUUCC